GGGUUGUGAGGUUAAGCGACUAAGCGUACACGGUGGAUGCCCUGGCAGUCAGAGGCGAUGAAGGACGUGCUAAUCUGCGAUAAGCGUCGGUAAGGUGAUAUGAACCGUUAUAACCGGCGAUUUCCGAAUGGGGAAACCCAGUGUGAUUCGUCACACUAUCAUUAACUGAAUCCAUAGGUUAAUGAGGCGAACCGGGGGAACUGAAACAUCUAAGUACCCCGAGGAAAAGAAAUCAACCGAGAUUCCCCCAGUAGCGGCGAGCGAACGGGGAGCAGCCCAGAGCCUGAAUCAGUGUGUGUGUUAGUGGAAGCGUCUGGAAAGGCGCGCGAUACAGGGUGACAGCCCCGUACACAAAAAUGCACAUGCUGUGAGCUCGAUGAGUAGGGCGGGACACGUGGUAUCCUGUCUGAAUAUGGGGGGACCAUCCUCCAAGGCUAAAUACUCCUGACUGACCGAUAGUGAACCAGUACCGUGAGGGAAAGGCGAAAAGAACCCCGGCGAGGGGAGUGAAAAAGAACCUGAAACCGUGUACGUACAAGCAGUGGGAGCCUCUUUUAUGGGGUGACUGCGUACCUUUUGUAUAAUGGGUCAGCGACUUAUAUUCUGUAGCAAGGUUAACCGAAUAGGGGAGCCGAAGGGAAACCGAGUCUUAACUGGGCGUUAAGUUGCAGGGUAUAGACCCGAAACCCGGUGAUCUAGCCAUGGGCAGGUUGAAGGUUGGGUAACACUAACUGGAGGACCGAACCGACUAAUGUUGAAAAAUUAGCGGAUGACUUGUGGCUGGGGGUGAAAGGCCAAUCAAACCGGGAGAUAGCUGGUUCUCCCCGAAAGCUAUUUAGGUAGCGCCUCGUGAAUUCAUCUCCGGGGGUAGAGCACUGUUUCGGCAAGGGGGUCAUCCCGACUUACCAACCCGAUGCAAACUGCGAAUACCGGAGAAUGUUAUCACGGGAGACACACGGCGGGUGCUAACGUCCGUCGUGAAGAGGGAAACAACCCAGACCGCCAGCUAAGGUCCCAAAGUCAUGGUUAAGUGGGAAACGAUGUGGGAAGGCCCAGACAGCCAGGAUGUUGGCUUAGAAGCAGCCAUCAUUUAAAGAAAGCGUAAUAGCUCACUGGUCGAGUCGGCCUGCGCGGAAGAUGUAACGGGGCUAAACCAUGCACCGAAGCUGCGGCAGCGACGCUUAUGCGUUGUUGGGUAGGGGAGCGUUCUGUAAGCCUGCGAAGGUGUGCUGUGAGGCAUGCUGGAGGUAUCAGAAGUGCGAAUGCUGACAUAAGUAACGAUAAAGCGGGUGAAAAGCCCGCUCGCCGGAAGACCAAGGGUUCCUGUCCAACGUUAAUCGGGGCAGGGUGAGUCGACCCCUAAGGCGAGGCCGAAAGGCGUAGUCGAUGGGAAACAGGUUAAUAUUCCUGUACUUGGUGUUACUGCGAAGGGGGGACGGAGAAGGCUAUGUUGGCCGGGCGACGGUUGUCCCGGUUUAAGCGUGUAGGCUGGUUUUCCAGGCAAAUCCGGAAAAUCAAGGCUGAGGCGUGAUGACGAGGCACUACGGUGCUGAAGCAACAAAUGCCCUGCUUCCAGGAAAAGCCUCUAAGCAUCAGGUAACAUCAAAUCGUACCCCAAACCGACACAGGUGGUCAGGUAGAGAAUACCAAGGCGCUUGAGAGAACUCGGGUGAAGGAACUAGGCAAAAUGGUGCCGUAACUUCGGGAGAAGGCACGCUGAUAUGUAGGUGAAGUCCCUCGCGGAUGGAGCUGAAAUCAGUCGAAGAUACCAGCUGGCUGCAACUGUUUAUUAAAAACACAGCACUGUGCAAACACGAAAGUGGACGUAUACGGUGUGACGCCUGCCCGGUGCCGGAAGGUUAAUUGAUGGGGUCAGCGCAAGCGAAGCUCUUGAUCGAAGCCCCGGUAAACGGCGGCCGUAACUAUAACGGUCCUAAGGUAGCGAAAUUCCUUGUCGGGUAAGUUCCGACCUGCACGAAUGGCGUAAUGAUGGCCAGGCUGUCUCCACCCGAGACUCAGUGAAAUUGAACUCGCUGUGAAGAUGCAGUGUACCCGCGGCAAGACGGAAAGACCCCGUGAACCUUUACUAUAGCUUGACACUGAACAUUGAGCCUUGAUGUGUAGGAUAGGUGGGAGGCUUAGAAGUGUGGACGCCAGUCUGCAUGGAGCCGACCUUGAAAUACCACCCUUUAAUGUUUGAUGUUCUAACGUUGACCCGUAAUCCGGGUUGCGGACAGUGUCUGGUGGGUAGUUUGACUGGGGCGGUCUCCUCCUAAAGAGUAACGGAGGAGCACGAAGGUUGGCUAAUCCUGGUCGGACAUCAGGAGGUUAGUGCAAUGGCAUAAGCCAGCUUGACUGCGAGCGUGACGGCGCGAGCAGGUGCGAAAGCAGGUCAUAGUGAUCCGGUGGUUCUGAAUGGAAGGGCCAUCGCUCAACGGAUAAAAGGUACUCCGGGGAUAACAGGCUGAUACCGCCCAAGAGUUCAUAUCGACGGCGGUGUUUGGCACCUCGAUGUCGGCUCAUCACAUCCUGGGGCUGAAGUAGGUCCCAAGGGUAUGGCUGUUCGCCAUUUAAAGUGGUACGCGAGCUGGGUUUAGAACGUCGUGAGACAGUUCGGUCCCUAUCUGCCGUGGGCGCUGGAGAACUGAGGGGGGCUGCUCCUAGUACGAGAGGACCGGAGUGGACGCAUCACUGGUGUUCGGGUUGUCAUGCCAAUGGCACUGCCCGGUAGCUAAAUGCGGAAGAGAUAAGUGCUGAAAGCAUCUAAGCACGAAACUUGCCCCGAGAUGAGUUCUCCCUGAC
rnacentral:rRNA from 1 species